ACCACAUGUUGCGCCUCAUGGGGUAGUCAACUCUCUGUACCAGUGGGAAUUCAAGCAGAUGCGAGUAGUUACAAGCAGCGAGGAGAUUCAAGCAGUGACCGUCAGAUACUUAAAUGCUGCAAGCUAGUUAAGGCUGAGAAUUCUCUAUUGAUGAGCAAUCCCUCAUCAAUGCCGAGCGGAUGGCCCGCGAUGCUCGCAAUAGAAGAAUGUCUUAGUGUGCUUAUUUGUAUUCUUACCAGUGUGUUCCCCACGGAAAUGCACCCAGGGUCUGUCUACUCCGUCCUCAAGAUCAGGUAUGCAAAGAUGCGGAUUUGUUUUGCGAUAUCAUUCAAGGUAGUCAGGAUUUGGGUAAUGAGGGUGUGCAAAAGGAAGAAGAGGGUUCUCCUGUGACAGGUUCUGUUAAGGAAGAGGAUGCUGUGAGCAACAAUUGUUCAGCUGAUGCAGGUGAGUGGAACUGAUGAAUUAUGGAUGACAGAAAUGGAUUCUCCAAUCUCUGAUGGAAGAUUUUUGGUGGUUAAAAUAGAUGUUGCUACAACGUCUAGGAGAUUUCCCCAUUAGCCGUGUUGAUAUGGAUGUCAAGUACUGGAUGACAACGCCCGAAGUUGAUUUUCCAAUAUG